CAGUCGCCGCGGUAAUACGAAGGGGGCUAGCGUUGCUCGGAAUGACUGGGCGUAAAGGGCGCGUAGGCGGUUUGUACAGUUGGAUGUGAAAUUCCUGGGCUUAACCUGGGGGCUGCAUUCAAUACGUGCAAGCUUGAGUGUGGAAGAGGGUUGUGGAAUUCCCAGUGUAGAGGUGAAAUUCGUAGAUAUUGGGAAGAACACCGGUGGCGAAGGCGGCAACCUGGCCCAUUACUGACGCUGAGGCGCGAAAGCGUGGGGAGCGAACAGGAUUAGAUACCCCUGUAGUCCCUGUCUCUUAUAC
rnacentral:rRNA from 1 species